CUCCUCUUCUUCCUCCUCCUUCUUCUUUUUCUUCUUCUUCUUCAUUUGCAGUGCUAGGGAUAGAACCCAGCGAAGUGGGCAUGCCAGGCUAGCACUCUACCACCGAGCUACAACCCAGCCCUACAGCUUGAUUUUAAAUCCAAGUUGCACUGGAAAGUGACAUAUAUAUAUAUAUAUAUAUAUAUAUAUAUACACACAUACAUAUAUAUAUAUAUAUAUAUAUACUUUAUUCUCAACAUUUCUCAUUUGCUCUUAAGUUUGUGACCCUGACAACAAAAAUAAGUGUAAGAUUCAAAUUUCUGUCCAUUCUUCAAAUGUGACUGCCAUUUCAAAACAAAUAUAACUGGCAUAGAGAAUCCAAAUGUGUGAAACAGUGGUAAAAAUGAGGAAGACAGAAUCCUGGGGGGGAGGAAAAUAUGUUAAAUUUACUGAGGUAUUUCCCAGCUAUCCUUGGGAUACUGUAAAUGCUUUUUAGAGGAUCUAACCCUAUCUGGAAACACUUUCUUCACCAUUCCCUCAGCACGCCUCCUUUUUACGUGUAGUCUCUUAUCUCUGUAAACUGUCACACAACCCUCAUGUUUUACUCUUCCUCAGUCCAUUCAACACCUUCAAAUUCUCUUGAUAGCAAUAUUAAACUGUCCCCAAAGACUUAAUAUUGUCUUAAACAUACACAGUUCUCUUAGUCUCUGUAAUUAAAAGUUCUGAAGAAACCUGAAAAAGUUAUCGAAUUUACUCUCAUGUUAUACUUAGAGAAACACGGCUCAUAGAAAUAUAUCCAAUGAGCCAAAAAAGCCCUAAAUAACUAAUUCAACCCUGAAAUCUGAAAUAAUUGUAAAUUCAGCCAAAAGAAGAGAUAUGUAGAGUCACCAACUACUCAGUGGUGGAGAUUUGGUUAAAACCUAUGUCUGUUGACUCCCGGCCACACUUUUUUCCAAAUACCGGCAGGACUUCCCUAAAGUUUAAGGCACCAAACGGCUAAAGGACCUGAGAGAUAAAAGAAAUCUCAGUGAAUAAAAUCUAAGUCUCCUUCUUUUAAUAAGAAGGGACGCAACUACUGAAACUGUUCUGGUUCCACAGCUGCAGCUGCUACUUCUGACUGGAGAGGCUGGAGUUAGCCCAAGGGCUAUCAGGUCCUCACAGGCCGGAGUACCGCUGAGCCCAGCAGAACCUCGGGGUUUAAUUCGCCGACCUGCUUUCCUAAAAUGGAACUCCUGGGGAAGGGUGCGGUGGGUAAAAUGGACAGAAAAGCCACCCCUUCGGGGGCUAUCAACGCUCAGCCCUUCUUGAAUGACGGCCUCAGGCCGUGGAGGAACAGGAGACGCGUAAACCCCAGCCUGUCAGCCGAGCCGCGUGGGGCAGCUCGCGGCUUAGGGGCCAGGAGCAGCGCCUAGCCACUAGUGAGGUGGGGGUGGGGGCGCGGAGCCGGGCGAGGGGGCUCGCGCUACUUCCACAGCCCGGCGGGUAAGACGGAGGGCGGGCAAGGGUCUCCCAGCCGUGGGAGGCUCGGGGCCCGUCACACACAUACUCACUGCCGCCGCUGCGACCAGGAAGCACCAACCAGGAACCAAAACGCGGAAAGGGACGGGGAGGGGCGAGGACAAAUGAGGCUAUGCUUCUUGUAAAGAAAAAAAAAAGGAUGAAAUUGCAUCUUGGAUAGAUCAUGGAAAGAUCCAAGACAAUACAGUUAAAUGAAAAAGAAGGAAAAUUGUUGAAAUUGUCAGAAAAUACGUGGAAGGGUUUUUCAUCCAAGAAGUCAGUUGUGAGAGAAAAGAGAUUUUGUACUCUUCUAAAGUCCAUCAAGGACCUAAUGGUGAGAGCAAGUAUUCCUUCAGUUCCCAAGGACUCUGCUGAUUCUGCUCGGCCUUGAGUGUAGCACCAAAUUAUUUUGCUGUGGAGAAGAAUGGAAUAAAGAGGGUGAAGACCAGCUGAGCAACUGUAGCAGCCAUUGUGGAAAGAGAUAAUGAUAACUGAACCAGAAAAAUGGCAAUGGGGGAUGGACCCAAGAGAUAUGGCUGAGGAACAGGAAAAGCUGGAAUGUGUUGAGUCCUAAAUAGAGGAGAGAAGGUUUGGUAAGUGCCUGGCUCUCAGCCAGGACAUGCCCUCAUGCCCUCUGGAAAAGAGCUGAAAUGGAUCAGACACAUGACAACAUGGGGAGCAGAAGAGACUUGUGGAGCCUCCGGAAAAAUGAUGAAGCCACAGUAGAUGAACACAACUAGCUUUCAUGACCAGGCUCUUACUCAAUAGUUAACUGGAGGGACAUAGGUUGUCAUAUCUACUGCAUGCAUUUCUCAACCUGUUGACCCCACUCAGGUGUGUAGACCGUGAUGAAGAGGAUCAGGUCAAGCUGAAGAGACCCCAACAGUUCCUGCUUUGUGAAAUGAACAUGCUAAUUUCUGCCCAGCUGCAACCUGGGCCUGGUGUCAGGCUCCCCCAAGAUAAAUAAAUAGGAAGAAACAAAUGCUUUGUGAAUCCUCCAAAACAGUGUCGUUGGAUUAUUUUCCCUUAAGAAUCUUGUGGGCUGGGGUGUGGCUCAGUGGUAGAGAGAUUGCCUAGCAUUCAUAAAGCCCUGGGUUCCAUUUU